UUGGUCUUACAAUUCAUGUUUAUAUCUGUUUAAUAUGACCCAGGCCCACAGCUCGUUUUAGUAGCAACGGUAAAAUAUAUAGUUGUCUUUUAUACUUUUCAGAAUUAUCUUGCUAAAAAACCCCCAGAAAUAUCGAUGGCCUUGAGUUUGCUGGACACUUCAUUUUAAAACGUCUUUCUGAUUGGCCAAGAAUAUGUAGUUGGCGAAAAUAAUUAAAACUUUCAAAAAGAUAAUGGCAUUGCAAUGUAAAAAAUUCUAAAAGUAAUGAAUUCUGCUUUAAUAAUAUAGAUUUUCAUAAUAAAAAUUCAAUAAAAAAUGAAUUAGAAAAAAUGUUACACAGGAAAAACAAAAAAAAAAGUAAUAAAAUAAUGAUAAGUUUUAAUUGUUUUUGACCAAACACAUAUAAUGAUCCCUUACGGCGACAGUGAC
rnacentral:lncRNA from 1 species